ACUGCUCUCACAAGCAUUUCAUUUGUGGCUGCUGUGUCACAUGUGCAUCAGUAGGUGGCAGAGAAGAGAGAAGAUAUGUCUAACCUCAAUGUUCUGACCUAUGAAUACCUACAUGUUGAGUAGUCUAACAUU